rnacentral:rRNA from 1 species
UACGAAUGGGGCAAGCAUUGUUCGGAAUCACUGGGCUUAAAGCGUGCGCAGGCGGUCCUGCAAGUCAGAAGUGAAAUCCCCGGGCUCAACCCGGGAAUUGCUUUUGAAACUGCAGGACUAGAAUCCCGGAGAGGUUAGCAGAAUUCCGAGUGUAGAGGUGAAAUUCGCAGAUAUUCGGAGGAAUACCAGUGGCGAAGGCGGCUAACUGGACGGGCAUUGACGCUCAGGCACGAAAGCGUGGGUAGCAAACAGG